rnacentral:misc_RNA from 1 species
AAGUCGUAACAAGGUAACCGUAGGUGAACCUGCGGUUGGAUCAUUACAAAAUGAUGGGUCUUGAAAGCGUGUAAGUCCAGUUUUUAGGUAGAUAUUGAUUUGCCUUCUAUACCGCUGAAAACUUUCAAGACUUAAUUAACCCUUUGUGCACAAAAAUGUUUUUUGGGUUGGCUUCAUUAGAGGCGAGCCCAGCAUAUUAUGUCUGCGAGUCACGCAAGUGUUUAGCAGGCAUAAAGUAAACACCUUUUUUAAUUUGACUGAAUUUUUUUGAAAUAUAAAAAAUAACAACUUUUGACAACGGAUCUCUUGGCUCUC